rnacentral:lncRNA from 1 species
GGUCUGGUCAAGAAUGUAUUUCCUAAAAGCAUUGUGUGAACUCAUGGAGCAGGAACUAUAGACCAAAUAUUCUUCAUAUCAUCUUUUAAUAAGUUAUUUGAAAUAUACAUGCAAAUGCAUACAGUCAUGUUUCCAUUAUUUCUGGAGACAUUAGCAUAGCACGCCUGCAUCACUUGUAUUUUAAAACAUGAAGUCUACUGCAUAUUGAUAAACAAAAAAUGUUGGUUUAAUGGAUGCACAAAUUAAGGGUGGACAUUAGUAUUGUACGGUUUCCCAAAUUUACAUGUUGUCUACCUGUGCACUUCCAGCUUACCUGUUUUACAUAUUAUUUAUUUUUAAAUAGUAUCUUUGUGUGAACAGAAAGACUUAAUUUUGUUACAAAAGGCAUUACGAUUUAAGUGUGUUACUGGUAUUUAUGUUGAUUUGUUUUUAAACAGAUUAAUGUCUGUUAAAAUUAUAAGGCUGGUAUCUUUGAUGGGUUCAUUUUAUAACUGCUGGAUCGAUGUCACUGCUGGUGGAGGUUUCCUCUCCGAUAUCACAAGCCAGUUAUCACCACUCCUGUGUUGACAUGGAUUAUCAUUUGUCAUAUUUAUAGACCAACUAAUUACAAAACUUUCAAUUGUUCAAAACACUAAGGUUUUUUUUUUUACCCCAGAAAAAACUACCUUAUCUGUAUUUGGCAGAAUCAUUCGUAAUUGUUGGCUCUUAAACUACAUACUUUUAAAUUUUGUUUAUUCGAGCGGCACGGAUGAAUCCUCUGUAGAUGAAACUGGAUAACAUUCAGAACUUUUAUGUAAAGUUGAUGAGUCAGCAAAUCAUAUAAGAAUGAUUAAAGAAUAAGGUCCAUUGUAAUUUUAUUUAGUGACUAUUUCUAAAAAAUUUGAUCUGUGCAAAUGUGGAAUUGUUUUGUUAGUAGAUAUAGAUGAGAGGGGUUUUUUUGCCAUUUUUAUAGACUUUCUGUGCUUGGAUUCAUCUUCGAGUUCGCCGUUUUGUUACAUUAUUUGCUAAACAUCAAUCGAUUUUGUUUUAAAACAAAAACACUUUAUGUACUAUGGACUAGAUUUUAUAGUGUAGUCAUAGGACUAUAGGUUCUAGUGAUGGGACUUCGAUUUGCUUAGGCAGGUAUCCAGAACUUUGGUGUAUGUAUAAUCAUCAUAUCAAAUCACGUUUGUGCCGUCUUUACAAAAGAAGUUUAUUGACAUUCCAAACUUCAACAUCAUCGAAAAAAAUUACCACCUCUUCAGUUAUGAUAAUAAUUACCUGUAAAUGAUACUGAUAAUUAUAUAAUACUGAUUGGUGUCAUUUCAUCACACGUUUCUAUGUGACAAACGUGAUAAAAACAUUAGAACCCACACAAUUCACUAUAUGCCUGUAAUUCAGUGGUUGUCGUUUGUUUAUGUGUUACAUAUUAAAUUUUGUUUUUCGUUCAUUUUUUUUUACAUAAAUAAGGCCGUUAGUUUUCUCGUUUGAAUUGUUUUACAUUGUCUUAUCGGGGCCUUUUAUAGCUCACUAUAUGCGGUAUGGGCUUUGCUCAUUGUUGAAGGCCGUACGGUGACCUAUAGUUGUUAAUGUCUGUGUCAUUUUGGUCUUUUGUGGAUAGUUGUCUCAUUGGCAAUCAUACCACAUCUUCUUUUUUUAUAUAUAAAUAAAUCACAUAUAACAGGAUUUUUUUAUACGGUAAAGAAAAGUCAUCGCAAUAUGAGAACUGUAUAUGUCUUCUUUUUGUUCAACAAAAGAAACCUAAAUUGACCGACAGUAAAACUUAAAAUAAUGCAUCAAAUUUGUAAAUAUAUUAUAUCAUUGAUUUUGUUUGCUGGACAUACACUUAGUCUUUAUUAAUAUAUAUCAUUGAUUUUGUUUGCUGGACAUACACUUAGUCUUUAUUAAUAUUUAUCAUUGAUUUAGUGUGCUGGACAUACACUUAGUCUUUAUUAAUAUAU